UAUUGACACAUGUUUUAUAUUCAGGGUAUAAACAAACUGUGUACAAGAACUAACCCUAACCGUAUCCCUGUGCACAAUGACUGACCCAGGAAGCAAAGUGACAUUGAACCAACUGUCUGACAUAAGCAGCCAAACCCUGACCCUUCUCUGCUCUCCUCAGUCCCAACUAAACGUCAUGCAGCUGAGUUGUCUCCAUGCAGCAGCCGCCGACACUAUGGCGCCUACGCCCGUCCACAUGAAACCCCUGGAGGAGAAGGGGUCAGAGGUAAGGAGCCACCCCCGAGCUCGCCGUGCUUCCUCCGACGGAAACAACAGGGUCAAAUCAGCCCUCCCAGAGAAGCGCAUCACCACCAUCCCGGAGCUGGCCGAGUCCUUCAAUAGGAGACUGAGGCUCCACAACAAGAAGGUCAUGUCCACGAGGGAAGCGGACAGCCAUGAAGACGUGUGUAAUGGAGGAGGAGGAGGAGUCCAGGAGUUACAAUGCUCACACCGCUUCCACAAAGAGGUGAAGUUCACAACACACUCCUAUAACCCUGAUGCUAACACUAAUCCUGCAUGUGCUCACAAUCCCCUCUGUACUGUAGUUAUUUGGUAGUUAACCUGCUUACAGUGUACACCAGCAACCUGCAUGUCCCCCUCUGUACUGUACACCAGUGGAGGCUCCUCAGAGAAGCAGGUGGAGGACCAUCCUCCUCGGUGAAUUUCAAAAAAGUUUUUAUUGUAAAACAUUUAAAAAGUAAAAAAAAAAGAGUCAUUUUUAGAUAAAACUAUACUAAAUAUAACCAUGUCACCAAAUAACUGAUUAAAACACACUAUUUUGCGAAC
rnacentral:lncRNA from 8 species